rnacentral:lncRNA from 1 species
CAAAUAAAAACAUUGCAAGAGAGGGCAGAAUCCAUGUUCGUAAUCCCCUAGCAAAUACACCACUAGGGAAAUUAUCCGGUGACAUUUCUGUCCAGACUUUUCUCAUACAAGUUUAGGAACAGGAGAAUACGUGGUUACAUGAAUACAUGUUAUCCUCAUAACAACAACCCUUUGAGGUAGUUCAGGCUAAGCGUGUAUGUCUGGUCCGAAAUCAGAGUGAGAUUUAUGGCUUAAUGAGCCAUCCCAAGGGCCAGACCAAAGCACCCCUAGCACUCUUCCACAAUGGCGCUUCAGACGGUGAUGACCUCAAAAGCUAUGUCUGGAACCAUCUUUGGUGGAUUUAUGCUUGCUGGCGCCUUAGAGUCCUCACCCUUUAAGGAAGAUCUCCAGCCAUUUAACACCUGAUGAAGGCUGGCUCAUCUCCUGCCAGGUCAGCCGGGGUUCUCAGCAUCCACGUGGUUGCUCUGCACCUUCCCCGAACAUGAACUGGAGCCAUCUGUCACCCUUGAUUGAUUGUGAUCUAAAAAUACCUCCUGGCCACAGCCUGAUGUCCAGAGGGGGGAUGGCUUGUUUUUGUAGUUGAGUUUGGAGUUCAUCCCAAGAGUGGGAGGUGCAGCCGGGUGACAUCUGCCCCUUGGGUGCACGCGUGUGCGCGUCGGAUUUCAUCUGUUUUUCGAUGCCACUGAAUGAACAGAACCCAGUCAACAGAAAACAUGGCAACUAUGACAUUAAUGGACCUCCUUCAAAGCUAGUGACCGCCAAAGGUGGUGAUGUCUGCACUUUCUGCAUAUCCUUCCUUCAGUCCAACUCAAGAGCCACAACUUGCCCUUUUCAUGAAUAUUGUGACUGGAAUUAUGACAAGAAAAUGUCAACAACAGUAACAACAAAGCCUGCAACCAACUCUUCAUACGGCAGAUCCAGGAAACCCGGAAAGAAAGGAGGGAUGGAGGGAAGACCACUAGGAGAAAAGUGCCUGCAACUGGCAGACGUUCCUGUUUAGCUGCAGAGGAGGUGGACCAGUGGCUCCCACCAGGUUUAUCCACUCAACUGCUUCACAGUUCAGGUUAACCACAAAAACACCCCGCUAACCAAUUGCAAGCGUGAAGCGUCAUGUUUGGACAUUUAUAGAUGUUUC